UACACUCCUACGGGAGGCAGCAGUGGGGAAUUUUGGACAAUGGGCGAAAGCCUGAUCCAGCAAUGCCGCGUGUGUGAAGAAGGCCUUCGGGUUGUAAAGCACUUUUGUCCGGAAAGAAAUCCUUGGCUCUAAUACAGUCGGGGGAUGACGGUACCGGAAGAAUAAGCACCGGCUAACUACGUGCCAGCAGCCGCGGUAAUACGUAGGGUGCGAGCGUUAAUCGGAAUUACUGGGCGUAAAGCGUGCGCAGGCGGUUUGCUAAGACCGAUGUGAAAUCCCCGGGCUCAACCUGGGAACUGCAUUGGUGACUGGCAGGCUAGAGUAUGGCAGAGGGGGGUAGAAUUCCACGUGUAGCAGUGAAAUGCGUAGAGAUGUGGAGGAAUACCGAUGGCGAAGGCAGCCCCCUGGGCCAAUACUGACGCUCAUGCACGAAAGCGUGGGGAGCAAACAGGAUUAGAAACCCGGGUAGUCCCAUG
rnacentral:rRNA from 1 species